UCCUAUCAAGCCUAGUUCCCCAGCAAUCUAGUCUUGUUGAGGCUCCGUUGCUCCUGUCAGAGCCACUUGCUCUGUAGAGGAUGUUGACAACUUCGAACGGCAACUCACGCCUGAUCGUCAAAAACAGUUGGUGACUGAGCUAAUGUUGCUGGGAGGAAGCUCCCUGAAAUGUGCAGUCAAAAGGAUUCUAUCCCACAUGUUCACAGACAAACUUGCACAGCUUUACAGCUGGGAAGGAAGAAAAGGAAAAUUUAAAUUUGUGGACCUUACUUUGCCAGGUCUAAUCUUACGUGCCCUUCACGCACAGAAAAAGUUUUCGAAAGUAACAGAGUUCGAGGUGCAGGUAGUUGCCAAAGAAUGGCUGAGGCAUGCUGGUGACAGGUGUAAAAGAGCCAAAAGCAUUGAGUCUGCAGUUGCGUAAACUGCCUCAGGAGGCUACUGCGUGGGCUGCCCCAGGAAUCUACUGCAUGAACUGCCCCAUGAACAAACUGUUAGCCACACCACAGAGGCGGGGUGCCCUACUGUUCUGAAACAAGGUGGAGAAAAUCACCAAAGAAUAAGUGGAUGUGUGGUGCCCUAAGAACAGUGGACAAGCAGUGGUCUUAAAAAAACAGCUGAAUGUUGUUUGCAGCGGUUCAGUACAUUCAGUGGUAUCUUUCUUGUUUUGACCAGUUACAUAUGGCUAAUUAGUACUCAUUGUGUGUUUUGAAUGAUAUAUUGGUCUUAAUGCCUUGUCAAUUGAAAAGUUGCAGCUCACAGACACCACUAAGGUGACUCCAAUUCCGCCAACUUGUCUGUACUUGAUUUUUUUUUUUUUCAAAAAGCUUUUGAAUGAACACUGAUUAGAAGUGUAUCACUCUCACCUUAUAAUUUACAACUGCAAAAUAAUUACGCUGCGUGAAAAAAGCAAUAUGUGCCACAUAACUGCCAAUGCAUGAUCUGCUUGUGGACUUUUACUGCAGUGUUUAUUCUAGCAAAGGAUACCUUUGAAUGUGUUAAUAAGAUGGUCGACCUCCCCAUUUUUUUCUUUCAAACAUAUAUUAAAGCCUU